UACGUAGGGUGCGAGCGUUGUCCGGAAUUAUUGGGCGUAAAGGGCUCGUAGGCGGUUUGUCGCGUCGGGAGUGAAAACUCAGGGCUUAACCCUGAGCCUGCUCCCGAUACGGGCAGACUAGAGGUAUGCAGGGGAGAACGGAAUUCCUGGUGUAGCGGUGAAAUGCGCAGAUAUCAGGAGGAACACCGAUGGCGAAGGCAGGUCUCUGGGCCAUAACUGACGCUGAGAAGCGAAAGCAUGGGGAGCGAACAGG
rnacentral:rRNA from 1 species